rnacentral:tRNA from 1 species
ACUCCUGUAGCCCAAUUGGAAGAGGCGGCUGUCUCAAAACCAGUCACGUGUGGGUUCGACUCCCGCCAGGAGUACCA